UCCCCGUUCUCCUGGGCAGUCUCUCCAGAGUUCUCGGCUUGACCCGUUAGUAACUGAAGACAGGGGUUGCGCUCGUUGCGGGACUUAACCCAACACCCCACGGCACGAGCUGACGACAGCCAUGCACCACCUGUGCAGGCUCCGAAGAGCGCCCGCUUUCACGGGUUUCACCCUGCAUGUCAAGCCCAGGUAAGGUUCUUCGCGUCGCAUCGAAUUAAGCAACAUGCUCCGCCGCUUGCGCGGGGCCCCGUCAAUUCCUUUGAGUUUCAGCCUUGCGGCCGUACUCCCCAGGCGGAGUGCUUAAUGCGUUAGCUGCAGCACUAAAGGGCGGAAACCCUCUAACACUUAGCACUCAUCGUUUACAGCGUGGACUAC
rnacentral:misc_RNA from 1 species